rnacentral:rRNA from 1 species
CUGGGAUAACAGAGGGAAACUUCUGAUAAUACUGGAUAAGUUAGUAUAUCGCAUGAUAUGCAAAUGAAAGCUACGGCACUAAAGGAGAGCUUUGCGUCCUAUUAGCUAGUUGGUAAGGUAAGAGCUUACCAAGGCGAUGAUAGGUAGCCGGCCUGAGAGGGUAGACGGCCACAAGGGGACUGAGAUACGGCCCUUACUCCUACGGGAGGCAGCAGAU